UGACUCGUGGAUUUGUUUAUCAUGUCUUGGUCAUGCGAGCUGGUGUGACCUGAUGUCAGGCGGUCAUGAUCGUAUGGUCGAUCGUAGCCGUCUUGACGAACAAACCAAAGUUCGGCACGGAUUGUGCCAAGGUGCUUUGUUAGGAUUGGUGUGUCCUCUCUUGCUUGCCUUCACAUAGGGCAACGGGCUUGGGUGCACGUGAUGUCCACCACAUUAAAAAUGACUCUCGGCAACGGAUAUCUCGGCUCUUGCAUCGAUGAAGAACGUAGCGAAAUGCGAUACUUGGUGUGAAUUGCAGAAUCCCGUGAACCAUCGAGUCUUUGAACGCAAGUUGCGCCCAAAGCCAUUCGGUUGAGGGCACGCCUGCCUGGGUGUCGUGAAUCAUUCGCCCCUUCUCACCCCUUGCGAUGACACAAGGGGUGGAUCGGGUGCGUAAUGUGGCCUCCCGUGGGAUCGAUGUGCAAAAUGUCGAGGCGCGGUUGGCCUAAAAUCGAGCACGGUGGUAGCUCGCACCACGACAAAUGGUGGAUCGUCUCAGACAAUCGUGAGAUUUGGUCGUGUCGUGUGUUGGGCUGCUCGUGGGCUUUUGACUCGGAUGAUCUUCGGAUGCGAUCCCAGGUCAGGCGGGGCUACCCGCUGAGUUUAAGCAUAUCAAUA
rnacentral:rRNA from 2 species